UCGUAACAAGGUCUCCGUUGGUGAACCAGCGGAGGGAUCAUUG
rnacentral:rRNA from 11 species